rnacentral:misc_RNA from 1 species
AGCAAGUUCACAACGAAGAGUGACAUAUAUAGCUUUGGCAUUAUCCUUUUUGAACUAAUCACCGCUAUUCAUCCACAUCAGAACUUAAUGGAAUAUGUAAAUCUUGCGGCAAUGAGUUCUGAUGGAGUUGAUGAGAUCCUAGACAAGAAGCUUGUUGGAACAUGCAGUGUAGAACAAGUGAGGAGUCUUGCUGCAAUUGCUCAUAAAUGCAUACACAGAACACCUAGGAAGCGUCCUUCCAUGGGCGAAAUAUCACAUGCAAUAUUGAAAAUAAAACAGAGGCGCCUUGUCAAAGAGGAUACCAUGUCAUUUACAAGAUAUGACAGUUCAAGAAUGGCUAGAAGGAUAGAACAUCAACAGGUUGAAUUGAGAAACAUGGCCAGCAUUAAUGAAAGAGAAGUUGAAUGACUUUUCAUUCACAACCAUGAACACUUUGUUUCAAUUCUUGAGCUUAUUUUUUGCAGCAUAAAAGAUAUAGGAAAGACAUCACGCUGAGUGUUGGAUCAACAACUUGGCAUGAAAUUGGUGUUUUUGGAUAUGAUUUAAGUUAUAUAAACUAACCAUGUAAAGAAUUUUUAUAUCGGAAAAUUUAAGUUGACA